GACAGGGGGUGCAAGCGUUGCUCGGAAUCAUUGGGCGUAAAGCGCACGUAGGCGGUCUCGUAAGUCGGGUGUGAAAGCCCUCAGCCUAACUGAGGAACUGCGCCCGAUACUGCAAGGCUAGAGGAUGGGAGGGGAGAGUGGAAUUCCUGGUGGGGCGGUGAAAUGCGUAGAUAUCAGGAGGAAUACCAGUGGCGAAGGCGACUCUCUGGUCCAUUCCUGACGCUGAGGUGCGAGAGCUAGGGGAGCAAACGGG
rnacentral:rRNA from 1 species